UUUCCGGUUGAUCCCGCCGGACCUGACUGCUAUCGGAUUGAUACUAAGCCAUGCGAGUCUUUGCAGUAAUGCAAGGCAUACGGCUCAGUAACACGUAGUCAACUUACCCUAUGGACGAGGAUAAUCUCGGGAAACUGAGCAUAAUACUCGAUAGAUCAUAAUGCCUGGAAUGGUUUAUGGUUGAAAUGAUUCGUCGCCAUAGGAUGGGACUGCGGCCUAUCAGCUUGUUGGUGAGGUAAUGGCCCACCAAGGCGAUUACAGGUACGGGCUCUGAGAGGAGAAGCCCGGAGAUGGGUACUGAGACAAGGACCCAGGCCCUAUGGGGCGCAGCAGGCGAGAAAACUUUGCAAUGUGCGAAAGCACGACAAGGUUAAUCCGAGUGAUUUCUGCUAAAGAAAUCUUUUGCAAGUCAUAAAACCACUAGUGAAUAAGGGGUGGGCAAGUUCUGGUGUCAGCCGCCGCGGUAAAACCAGCACCUCAAGUGGUCAGGAGGAUUAUUGGGCCUAAAGCAUCCGUAGCCGGCUCUGUAAGUUUUCGGUUAAAUCCAUGUGCUCAACGCAUGGGCUGCCGAAAAUACUGCAUAGCUAGGGAGUGGGAGAGGUAGACGGUACUCGGUAGGAAGGGGUAAAAUCCUUUGAUCUAUCGAUGACCACCUGUGGCGAAGGCGGUCUACCAGAACACGUUCGACGGUGAGGGAUGAAAGCUGGGGGAGCAAACCGGAUUAGAUACCCGGGUAGUCCCAGCUGUAAACGAUGCAGACUCGAUGAUGCAUUGGCAUAUAGCCAGUGCAGUGUCGCAGGGAAGCCGUUAAGUCUGCCGCCUGGGAAGUACGUACGCAAGUAUGAAACUUAAAGGAAUUGGCGGGGGAGCACCACAAGGGGUGAAGCCUGCGGUUCAAUUGGAGUCAACGCCGGGA
rnacentral:rRNA from 1 species